rnacentral:rRNA from 1 species
CCCGCAACGAGCGCAACCCUUGCCAUUAGUUGCCAUCAUUAAGUUGGGCACUCUAAUGGGACUGCCGGUGACAAACCGGAGGAAGGUGGGGAUGACGUCAAGUCCUCAUGGCCCUUAUGACCAGGGCUUCACACGUCAUACAAUGGUCGGUACAGAGGGUCGCGAAGCCGCGAGGUGGAGCCAAUCUCAUAAAACCGAUCGUAGUCCGGAUCGCACUCUGCAACUCGAGUGCGUGAAGUCGGAAUCGCUAGUAAUCGCAGAUCAGCAUGCUGCGGUGAAUACGUU